rnacentral:sRNA from 1 species
AGAGCUCGCGGUGGACUCCGACCCGGCGCAACAUGGCCGCACCCUCGCCUCUGCGCGACUGCCAGGCCUGGAAGGAUGCGAGGCUCCCGCUCUCCACCACAAGCAACGAAGCCUGCAAGCUGUUCGAUGCCACGCUGACCCAGGUAUGCCUGCCGAGAGAGGCCGCGGCCCCUUCUGUGGAGGUCUAGGGGAAGGUUUUUUAAUUGGGGAAAGCUGUUUUUUUGUUUUGUUUUGUUUUUGAGGCGGAGUCUCGCUCUGUCGCCCAGGCUGGAGUGCAAUGGCGCGAUCUCGGCUCACUGCAAGCUCCACCUCCCGGGUUCACGCCAUUCUCGUCCCUCAGCCUCCCGAGUAGCUGGGACUACAGGCACCCGCCACUGCCCCCGACUAAUUUUUUUUGUAUUUUUUAGUAGAGACGGGGUUUCACCGUGUUAGCCAGGAUGGUCUCGAUCUCCUGACCUCGUGAU